UACGGAGGGUGCGAGCGUUGUCCGGAAUCAUUGGGCGUAAAGGGCGCGUAGGCGGCCUGUUAAGUCGAACGUGAAAUCCCCGGGCUCAACCCGGGAACUGCGUCCGAUACUGGCAGGCUUGAAUUCGGGAGAGGGAUGUGGAAUUCCAGGUGUAGCGGUGAAAUGCGCAGAUAUCAGGAGGAACACCGGUGGCGAAGGCGGCUUGCUGGGCCAGUUCUGACGCUGAGGAGCGAAAGCGUGGGGAGCGAACAGG
rnacentral:rRNA from 1 species